AAAGGCUUUUUUGUAUUUAAUUUAAAUAAAUAGAGAAAUUAUAUGGGGAAUCUAGUGAGAAUCUAGAGCUGUACCGCAACUGUGUUGGGAGCAGUAUUAUCAGUAUCCUCUCGCAAAGGGAUAAUAUUGCAUAGAUCUUAGUCAGGGCGCCAUUUUUAUGUUCAUAAUUUGC
rfam:Megamonas hypermegale ART12/1 draft genome.